rnacentral:rRNA from 1 species
GACGAACGCUGGCGGCGUGCCUAAUACAUGCAAGUCGAACGCAGUGGGGACGGGUGAGUAACACGUGGGUAACCUCCCAUCAGAGGGGAUAACACUUGGAAACAGGUGCUAAACCGAUACUGAUGGAUGGACCCGCGGUGGAUUAGCUAGUUGGUGAGGUAAAGGCUCACCAAGGCCACGAUGCAUAGCUGGCCUGAGAGGUUGAUCCGCCACACUGUGACUGAGACACGGCCCAGCCUCCUACGGGAGGCAGCAGUAGGGAAUCUUUGGCAAUGGGCGAAAGUCUGACCCAGCAAUGCCGCGUGGUUGAAGAAGGUUUUCGGAUCGGAAAACCCGGUUGUUAGGGAAGCGUUAUCUAACGAGAAAGCCCCGGCUAACUACGUGCCAGCAGCCGCGGUAAUAC